GAUUUCUGGUACAACGUACUUGGCCCGCCUCGGUUACGGGGUUGUGUGCCGGCGUGCGUUUGCCAUCCUUCCGGCCCUCACUGCUGCUUCCCUUCACUGGGCUCGUAGUAGCGAACCGGAUCAUUUACUUUGAAAAAAUUAGAGUGUUUAAAGCAGGCUUUUGCUAUGAAUACAUUAGCAUGGAAUAAUAAUCUAGGACUUCGGUUCUAUUUUGUUGGUUUCUAUAACUGAAGUAAUGAUUGAUAGGGAUAGUUGGGGGUGCUAGUAUUGGCCGGCCAGAGGUGAAAUUCUUGGAUUCGGUCAAGACUAACUUAUGCGAAAGCAUU
rnacentral:rRNA from 1 species